ensembl:lncRNA
CACGAAUGCCGGGCUGAGUGUACCCAAGGCGAGUGGAGAUAUAUCAUGUCUGCAAAUGACGCGCUGUCUUGUUCUCACUAUGUUGUUUGGUUGGCAGUAAAACUCGGCCGCCCCCUCUGUGGUACGGGCUUGCUUGUGCUUAUCUGAUCUGCUUUGGUGUCUGUCUAUUUGUGUUUUUUUUUAUGCGUGUGUGAGAACCAAUAAUUGUCUGAGCGCAGGGACGCAUUAAUGCACGUCAAUAUGACACCACAGACUCCAAGCUACGUACCUGAAUCCCUACCGGCUGAUCCAAGGGACUCUCCUCCAGUCCGUAACCCGGAACUCGGACUACCCUCCUGUUAACGUUCCAUCCUGAUCAUCUGCCUGCCUAUUCCUCAUAUCUCCGUCUGCUUCCAUUGAACUCACCUCACGGCUGUCUCCUGUCCCCCAUUCGUGACAGUCACAUGUCAUCUGUUAAUAUUAAGAAACAAAUCUUUAAGAAACAAAUCAUGUUUGAAAGUGAGACAUUAAAGCAGUCAAAUUUACAUAGAAGCAUGUGUGUUAAUUAUAUAUAAAAAGCAUCUCAGGUCAGUCAAAUAUUCAAGUCACCGGCUGCAAAGGUUUAGACUGUAUGACCUAGAUGUAAG